rnacentral:rRNA from 1 species
CACGUAGGGCGCAAGCGUUGUCCGGAAUUAUUGGGCGUAAAGAGCUCGUAGGCGGACUGUCACGUCUGCUGUGAAAAGCUGGGGCUUAACCCUGGCCUUGCAGUGGAUACGGGCAGACUAGAGGUAGGUAGGGGAGAAUGGAAUUCCCGGUGUAGCGGUGAAAUGCGCAGAUAUCAGGAGGAACACCGAUGGCGAAGGCAGAUCUCUGGGCCGUAACUGACGCUGAGGAGCGAAAGCGUGGGGAGCGAACAGG